rnacentral:rRNA from 1 species
AGAGUUUGAUCCUGGCUCAGAUUGAACGCUGGCGGCAUGCCUAACACAUGCAAGUCGAACGGCAGCACAGUGGAGCUUGCUCCAUGGGUGGCGAGUGGGGACGGGUGAGUAAUGCAUCGGGACCUGCCCAGACGUGGGGGAUAACGUAGGGAAACUUACGCUAAUACCGCAUACGUCCUACGGGAGAAAGCGGGGGAUCUUCGGACCUCGCGCGGUUGGAUGGACCGAUGUUCGAUUAGCUAGUUGGUGAGGUAACGGCUCACCAAGGCGAUGAUCGAUAGCUGGUCUGAGAGGAUGAUCAGCCACACUGGGACUGAGACACGGCCCAGACUCCUACGGGAGGCAGCAGUGGGGAAUAUUGGACAAUGGGCGCAAGCCUGAUCCAGCAAUGCCGCGUGUGUGAAGAAGGCCUUCGGGUUGUAAAGCACUUUUAUCAGGAGCGAAAACCUGUCGGUUAAUACCCGGCGGGCCUGACGGUACCUGAGGAAUAAGCACCGGCUAACUUCGUGCCAGCAGCCGCGGUAAUACGAAGGGUGCAAGCGUUAAUCGGAAUUACUGGGCGUAAAGCGUGCGUAGGCGGUUUGUUAAGUCUGCUGUGAAAUCCCCGGGCUCAACCUGGGAAUGGCAGUGGAUACUGGCAGGCUAGAGUG